rnacentral:rRNA from 1 species
GAAUUGUUCGCAAUGGGCGCAAGCCUGACGACGCAACGCCGCGUGGAGGAUGAAGAUCUUCGGGUCGUAAACUCCUGUCGAGCGGGAAGAAACCCGCGGGGGUGAAUCAUCCCUGCGGCUGACGGUACCGCCAAAGGCAGCCCCGGACAACUCCGUGCCCGCCCGCGCGGUAAUACGGGGGGGGCAAGCGUUGUUCGGAAUUACUGGGCGUAAAGGGCUCGUAGGCGGCCAACUAAGUCGGACGUGAAAUCCCCAGGCUCAACUUGGGAACUGCGUCCGAUACUGGAUGGCUUGAAUUCGGGAGAGGGAUGCAGAAUUCCAGGUGUAGCGGUGAAAUGCGUAGAUAUCUGGAGGAAUACCGGUGGCGAAGGCGGCAUCCUGGACCGACAUUGACGCUGAUGAGCGAAAGCCAGGGGAGCAAACGGG